UAUCUUUCAAAUCAUUCGCUUAAACAAAAAUUUUAACACAUCUACAAUAAACAAUUUAAUUCUCAGUUGUUGGCAAUCAUGAUGGUCGAGUUAACCAUCGGUUAGCUUAACCGAAGAUUGGUGAAAGAGACCCUAAACGAUGCUUCGAGUAAAUUGUUUCAAUAUGGCCGUUGCUAGAAAUAUGAAUAACCAAAAAAAAAUAAUAUUAAAGCUUGUUCUGAAAGAAUUAAUAGAAUCGUCUUCAUCAUCUAAUAGCGACGAAGAUUUGGAUACUCUUGGUAAUUUAGAAAUUGUAUCGAACAAAAAUUCCAAGAUUGCAGAAUUAUGUGGAAGAGGUGGUGCCUAGAUGGAGAGAUGCAGAAUUUAAAUCACAUUUUAGAUAAUAAUAAAUUAUCUGAUUUUGAUUUCUCUUCAAAAUUUUGUAUAUCAUCAGUACAAUGGAAAGAUGUUCAGAAACACUUUUGAAUUCAUACUCUCAAUAAUUGCUCCAAAUUUGGAAAAAUAUUAUCCAGGAUUAGAAAUGAUUUUUCCAGAGAAACAGUUUCUUAUCUGUAUUUGGAGAAUGGUUACUCCAAAUUCUUAGAGAUCAAUAUGUGAAAAAUUUAAUAUCAACAACUUUAUUAACAACACGACGAGUUACUAAAGCACUUAUAAAUUUGGCAUCAAUAUUUAUCAAAUGGCCAGUAGGAGACAAUGUUCAAGAAAUUUGGGCAAGUUUUGAAGCAAUUAGUGCUUUUCCAAAAGUUAUAGAAAGUUAUAAAAGCUAUAGACGGCAUCAUUCACAUCAAUAUUCCAUCUCCAUGUAUAAAUCCAGAGACUUAUGUUAAUCGAAAAGGCUAUUUUUCCAUUCAGCUGCAAGGAAUUUGUGAUCAUACUUCGUUUUACUCAUUGUUAUAUUGGAUAUGUUGGUUCUGUAUGUGAUCAGCGUGUCUUUCAUCUUUCAGAAAUCCAGGAUGCAUUGGGCAAUCCAGAAAAAUUUCCUGAUGUCACUUAAUUGAUGAUGCAUAUAAGCUUCAUGACAAUUUAAUGAUUUUCUAUCAUGAUAAUGGUCAUUUGAUUGAAUGACAAAAAUUACAAUUACUGCCAAUCUUCAGCGCGAAUUGCCAUUGAAAGAGCGUUUAGUCUUUUGAAAAGAUGAUUUCGAAACUUAUUACACCAUCUCCCUAUAAAUCGAACUGAUUUAAUUGCUCAUUUUAUACUUGCUUGUUAUGUCUUGCAUAACAUUUGUACAUUUAAAGGUGAUUUUGACGUUCUUCCAUUAAAUAAUGAGAUAGACAAUAAUAUUCAUCGACAAGUUGUUAUAGAUAAUGCACAAGCAGGUAUAAUUAAAAGUGAUUUAAUCUGUGAAAGACUUCCAAUGUGAUAUAUGUAAUUUUAAGACGAUUCCAAUUUACUAAAAAUAUAAUAUAUUUGUUAUAUUUGAAGGAAUUAUUUAAUUUUAUUAGAAUUUUUAAUAAUGCGAACAAUGCAAUAAGAAUAGAGAAAGAGUAUGAAUAAAAGAAUACUUUAUUUAU